UCUAAGCCAUGCGAGUCGAAUGUAGCAAUACAUGGCGUACUGCUCAGUAACACGUGGACAACCUACCCUCCGGACGGGGAUAAACCCGGGAAACUGGGUAUAAUACCCGAUAGAUCUCGACUGCUGGAAUGCAUCGAGAUCGAAAGCUCCGGCGCCAGAGGAUGGGUCUGCGGCCUAUCAGGUAGUAGUGGGUGUAGCGUACCUACUAGCCUACGACGGGUACGGGUUGUGAGAGCAAGAGCCCGGAGAUGGAUUCUGAGACACGAAUCCAGGCCCUACGGGGUGCAGCAGGCGCGAAAACUUUACAAUGCCGGCAACGGCGAUAAGGGGACCUCGAGUGCCAGGUUACAAAUCUGGCUGUCGUGAUGCCUAAAAAGCAUUGCAUAGCAAGGGCCGGGCAAGACCGGUGCCAGCCGCCGCGGUAACACCGGCGGCUCGAGUGGUAACCGUUAUUAUUGGGUCUAAAGGGUCUGUAGCCGGCCGGAUAAGUCUCUUGGGAAAUCCAGCAGCUCAACUGUUGGGCUUUCAGGAGAUACUGUCUGGCUCGAGGCCGGGAGAGGUGAGAGGUACUUCAGGGGUAGGGGUGAAAUCUUGUAAUCCUUGAAGGACCACCAGUGGCGAAGGCGUCUCACCAGAACGGACCUGACGGCAAGGGACGAAAGCUAGGGGCACGAACCGGAUUAGAUACCCGGGUAGUCCUAGCCGUAAACGAUACUCGCUAGGUGUCGGCCACGGUGCGACCGUUGUCGGUGCCGUAGGGAAGCCGUGAAGCGAGCCACCUGGGAAGUACGGCCGCAAGGCUGAAACUUAAAGGAAUUGGCGGGGGAGCACCACAACGGGUGGAGCUUGCGGUUUAAUUGGAUUCAACGCCGGAAAUCUUACCGGGACCGACAGCAAUAUGAAGGCCAGGCUGAAGACUUUGCCGGAUUAGCUGAGAGGAGGUGCAUGGCC
rnacentral:rRNA from 1 species